rnacentral:rRNA from 1 species
GUGAUCAUACCAGCUCUAAUGCACCGGAUCCCAUCAGAACUCCGCAGU